rnacentral:rRNA from 1 species
UACGAGGGGGGCAAGCGUUGUUCGGAAUUAUUGGGCGUAAAGGGCGCGUAGGCGGCGCCACAAGUCACUUGUGAAAACUCUGGGCUCAACUCAGAGCCUGCAAGCGAAACUGUGGUGCUGGAGUAUGGGAGAGGUGCGUGGAAUUCCCGGUGUAGAGGUGAAAUGCGUAGAUAUCGGGAGGAACACCUGUGGCGAAAGCGGCGCACUGGACCAUAACGGACGAGGAGGCGCGAAAGCUAGGGGAGCAAACAGG